GACGAACGCUGGCGGCGCGCUUAACACAUGCAAGUCGAGCGAGAACCAGGCCUUCGGGCCUGGGGACGAGCGGCGAACGGGUGAGUAACACGUGGGUAAUCUGCCCUCGGUUUCGGGAUAGCCCGGGGAAACCCGGACUUAAUACCGAAUGGCCGUCUCGAGCUCUCGGGCGUCGUGAGAAAAGGUAAGCUUCGGCCUCCGACCGAGGAGGAGCCCGCCGGCGGAUUAG
rnacentral:rRNA from 1 species